UUUAUCGAAUCUGUUAUCUGUAGA
rnacentral:piRNA from 1 species